rnacentral:rRNA from 1 species
AUUGAACGCUGGCGGAAUGCUUUACACAUGCAAGUCGAACGGCAGCACGGACUUCGGUCUGGUGGCGAGUGGCGAACGGGAGAGUAAUGUAUCGGAACGUGCCCAGUCGUGGGGGAUAACGUAGUGAAAAUUACGCUAAUACCGCAUACGAUCUAUGGAUGAAAGCGGGGGAUCGCAAGACCUCGCGCGAUUGGAGCGGCCGAUAUCAGAUUAGGUAGUUGGUGGGGUAAAGGCCCACCAAGCCAACGAUCUGUAGCUGGUCUGAGAGGACGACCUGCCACUGGAACUGAGACACGGUCCAGACUCCUACGGGAGGCAGCAGUGGGGAAUUUUGGACAAUGGGCGAAAGCCUGAUCCAGCCAUGCCGCGUGCAGGAUGAAGGCCCUCGGGUUGUAAACUGCUUUUGUACAGAACGAAAAGGUUUCUACUAAUACUAGGAGCUCAUGACGGUACUGUAAGAAUAAGCACCGGCUAACUACGUGCCAGCCGCCGCAGUAA